GGGAGGAGCACUGGAUCAUGGGCUGUGUCCCCUGGCACACUGGGCUCCGGGGCCUGCGUUGCUGGAAUCACGCUCUUGGGGCCGUGCAGCCCCCG
rnacentral:pre_miRNA from 1 species